rnacentral:rRNA from 1 species
UAGGGAAUCUUCGGCAAUGGGGGCAACCCUGACCGAGCAACGCCGCGUGAGUGAAGAAGGUUUUCGGAUCGUAAAGCUCUGUUGUAAGAGAAGAACGUGUGUGAGAGUGGAAAGUUCACACAGUGACGGUAACUUACCAGAAAGGGACGGCUAACUACGUGACCAG